AUUUUUUUCUCGUGCACGAAUUGUUUUGCUGUAUAAGCUAGAGAACCCACCACGUUAGUGUAACGUAUCUUGUACAUCACACUAAUAUGUGCUUUAAUUUACCAAGUGAGAUGAGUUACUUUUAUGGCUCAUUCAGUCAUAUCACACUGCAAGCUGCAUUCAUCAAUCUUCAAUUGGAUUUUGCAAAUGUUUAAUGAAACAUGUUUCCCUUUUAUGCAGAUAUGCAAUGGCAAGCCCUUCCGUGUGUUCCAAAGACAAUGCCUACGCCUAGCCACAGCAGCUCCCUCAUACAGACUUCGCAAGCCAAGAGGCCGUGGAGACAAAUGCAGGCUUGCAAGAAGCAAUAUCUGUGGUAUCGACAUUAAUCUAAUUUCUUUCUUUUUCUUUCGUUUAGGCAGCCAGCACACCCCGAACAGCCACCUUGACUGCGGGUGUGUCACCCUAUUCGUCAAGGAAGCAUUUGAGGGAAAGCGACAGGCAAUGUGAACAGCCACUUCUCCAUGUAAACAAUACUCUUUCUCUUGGAUGACUCCUACGCCUCGCCACGCCAGCACACUUGUGCACAAAGAUGCUGCGGAGGCACGUGCAGGUCAGAGGCAAGAAGCAGUGCCGCUGGUGUCGACAUUCACCCAAUUUCUUUUUCUUACACUGAGGCAGCCAGCACACCUCGAACAGCCACCUUGACUGCGGGUGUGUCAGUAGAUUCCUGUUGUACAUAUGCUCAUAAUAAACUUCAGUAAACUUGAACUUGAUAAUAAACUUGAAGGCAAAUGGGA